CUACUCUAGAACUUUCUCCACUUGUCGGUAGGUCUACUCUAGAACUUUGUCCAGUUGUGGGUAGGUCUACUCUAGAACUUUCUCCAGUUGUCGGUAGGUCUACUCUAGAACUUUCUCCAGUUGUGGGUAGGUCUACUCUAGAACUUUCUCCAGUUGUCGGUAGGUCUACUCUAGAACUUUCUCCAGUUGUCGGUAGGUCUACUCUAGAACUUUCUACAGCUGGCGGUAGGUCUACUCUAGAACUUUCUCCACAGGACGUUCUCCUUUGAAGUCCAUAGAAGUGGGUCCAGAUAUAUUAUUUUUUAAUGGACGUUUUCCUUUGGAGGCUCCAGACUAUCAUGUAGAUGUUCUUUCCAAACGGAUGAAGUCUAGUUUAUCCAGUCAGUCCAGUGAGCAGCGGACUCAGUCAUAUAAACUCUCUUCAGAGCAGAUCUGAGGUGUUCUGUCACCUGGUCCUGGUCUGACAGGUGAGCCAGGAUCUGAGUAAAUAUGACCUUUAAAGUAAAGUGGAACCAUCACGUCACUCCUGAU
ensembl:lncRNA